AGGGAUGAAGACACUUGACCUGGG
rnacentral:siRNA from 1 species